UACGGGGGGGGCAAGCGUUGUUCGGAAUUACUGGGCGUAAAGGGCUCGUAGGCGGCCAACUAAGUCGGAUGUGAAAUCCCCAGGCUUAACCUGGGAACUGCAUCCGAUACUGGAUGGCUUGAAUUCGGGAGAGGGAUGCAGAACUCCAGGUGUAGCGGUGAAAUGCGUAGAUAUCUGGAGGAAUACCGGUGGCGAAGGCGGCAUCCUGGACCGAGAUUGACGCUGAUGAGCGAAAGCUAGGGGAGCAAACGGG
rnacentral:rRNA from 1 species